rnacentral:rRNA from 1 species
AUUGAACGCUGGCGGCACGCCUAACACAUGCAAGUCGAGCGGCAGCGAGACUAGUAGCAAUACUAGUUGUCGGCGAGCGGCGGACGGGUGAGUAACACGUAGGAAUCUGCCCUUAAGCGGGGGAUAACCAAGGGAAACUUUGGCUAAUACCGCAUAAUCUCGAGAGAGCAAAGCUGCCCGCAAGGGUGGCACUUGAGGAGGAGCCUGCGUCCGAUUAGCUAGUUGGUGGGGUAAUGGCCUACCAAGGCGAUGAUCGGUAACUGGUCUGAGAGGACGACCAGUGGCACUGGGACGGAGACACGGCCCAGACUCCUACGGGAGGCAGCAGUGGGGAAUAUUGGACAAUGGGGGCAACCCUGAUCCAGCGAUGCCGCGUGAGUGAAGAAGGCCUUCGGGUCGUAAAGCUCUUUAGGUUGGGAAGAAGGGUAUUGGCUGAAUAAUCCAGUACUUUGACGGUACCGACAGAAUAAGCACCGGCAAACUCUGUGCCAGCCGCCGCAGUAAGAC